rnacentral:rRNA from 1 species
GAUGAACGCUGGCGGCGUGCCUAAUACAUGCAAGUCGAGCGAACAGAUGAGGAGCUUGCUCCUCUGACGUUAGCGGCGGACGGGUGAGUAACACGUGGAUAACCUACCUAUAAGACUGGGAUAACUUCGGGAAACCGGAGCUAAUACCGGAUAAUAUAUUGAACCGCAUGGUUCAAUAGUGAAAGACGGUUUUGCUGUCACUUAUAGAUGUAUCCGCGCCGCAUUAGCUAGUUGGUAAGGUAACGGCUUACCAAGGCAACGAUGCGUAGCCGACCUGAGAGGGUGAUCGGCCACACUGGAACUGAGACACGGUCCAGACUCCUACGGGAGGCAGAAGUAGGGAAUCUUCCGCAAUGGGCGAAAGCCUGACGGAGCAACGCCGCGUGAGUGAUGAAGGUCUUCGGAUCGUAAAACUCUGUUAUUAGGGAAGAACAAAUGUGUAAGUAACUAUGCACGUCUUGACGGUACCUAAUCAGAAAGCCACGGCUAACUACGUG